AUGUUAGUGCACGGAGCUUUUCCUUUGUUUUCCCUUUGAAUAGUUUUAGUUUUGAUCUUUCGUUCUUUCUCUCUUACGUUCUAGCUUUAUAAUAAGUUAUAGGUACAUACAUAUAGGUCCACAUUUUUAUUAUAAGGCAAGAGGAACAUCACCAGCAUGUUUCAAUUUUCAAUGCGAGAACUGUGAUGCCAUAAUGGCAGAAGCCACUUUCUUGUCUACAUCUCAAAUAAUAGAAAUUGCACGGGCGUGAAAUCUACGUACAGCAGUGAUGAGAUUCUGGAAUUCCAUUGUCUGCAAUGUCUACUCCUAAUCUCCUAUAAUUGAAGAGCAGAUGAAAGAAGCUGUAGUUUUGCAAAAUUUCAUGUUCGAUGAUGAUGCUGAUGAUUAUGAGAAUUCUCAAUUUCAACAACCUCCGGCCACUUCCUCCUUCAACGAUAAACUGUCGGUUCCUGCUGCCUAGAACCAUAUAUAAAGGAUAAUAUUUAUAUUUCUUGUCUCUACUAGAACGUAGUGGUCAUUUUAUAAUCACUCCUUCCAUUACCAACACACAAGCCAAGGGCUCAUGUGGGUAUCACACUCCAAAAAUAAUACUUCGACACUGCAGUAUUUCAGCACUUGUUUAUAACAAUGACGAUUUUCUAAGAGAAGAAUAGUUUGAAAAAAAUCCUAGUAUAGCAUAAAAUAACACCAAACAUAUUUUUUGCAGGCUUCAAAUAGAUUGAAUUAAGUUAUUUUCAAUGAGAGCAUUUAUUCAAAGGAGAGGAGCACAGAGGUGCGUGAAGCUACCUCGUUGUGAAGAGCAGACCGUUGGGUGUGUACUUCAGCGACUCGAGUGACAGUUUGUAUUGUAGCUCACAGGACUCUAAUAUUUUGUUAUUGACCAAGGAGCUCAGCAAAUCUGACAAUGAGUGUACUGAGGCUACAGACCGUUAGGUGUGUCUCAUAACCCCCCAUGGGCAAUUCUCCUGACGAAUAAUGUUGUAGAAAUUCACUUAGACCGCGGGACUAUAUUUUAUUAUAGAACUAUUGGACUAUUGUGAAUUUCAACAUUUCUACAUGAAAAUAAUCUUUCUUCACUUGGAGCCUACAAAUUAAAAUGAGUUACAUAUUUAAAUUCAAGUGCAAUUAUAUUCUCUUUUCCAUAGUUAAUGUCUUGUUUAGAAUUCACAAUAAUUUUAUUCCACCGAAAUAUAUAUUUAUAUUAAUUCUAAACAUAAAUAAAUUUUAAUAUUCAUAUAUAAUAUUACUCAUAAUAACCAAUAUGAGAGAAAUGUAGAUUCAAUUAUAUAUUUUCAAUUCUAAACAUCCAAAAUCAAAACGGAGUUUUCAUCAGUCAAAAGCUUGUCAGUUUUAUUUUUUAUAAUAAUAGUUUACAACAUACAAUAUAAUUAUGGUAGUAUUUCAGUCGAAAUUCUGAAUGUGAAUGUGAAACUUGUUGCUUCCUUUUUCAAUAGAAGAAUACUAUCAAUUAUUAUUAUUUAUAAUAUUAGAAUUAUGAAUAAUAAUAAAUCUUAAACAUUUUAUCGAAUAAAUUGAAAUUAAUGGGGUUUAUUAAAAUUUAUUUUCAUUGGUGUCAACGUUCUAAAAAUAAAGGUGGACCAAUAACGGUAUUGUCAGUUCCACAUAAUUUAUUUUAGCCGAACUUGAAGUUUCAAUGCACUAGGGCAUCAUCUUCAGUGGUAUUUUUCUCAAAGAAUGAUCUAAGAUGGUCUCUAUCUAAAAGACCACUCACUGAAGAUGAUGCCUUGAAACUCAAGUUUGGCUCAAAUAAAUUAUGUGAAACGGACAAUAUCGUUUUUAUUCCACCUCAAUAUGGAGAAAUUCCACAAUAUCUCUGUUCAUAGUGUAUAAAAGAUGUUUUAAUGUUUACAUGAGUAUAAUUAAUUGUAGAUUUAAGUGAAAUUUUUAAUAUUUUUGGCGAUUGUGAAGGAAGAUUUUUGUUUUGAUUUGUAUUUUGAAGUUAAUUAAUCUGAUAAAUUCAAAAUUGUAGAAGAUACAUUUUUUUGGACUCAAAAUAGUGUGUGAAUUAAGUUAUAAUUUUUACAAAACCUCUAGACUAUGUAUUCCAAAUUGAGGUUUAGAGCAGUUUUGGGCGAAUGCCUGUUUUUUUACCUGGAUUGUAUUUGUAUAUGAAUAAAUAAAUAAGUUCUAAAAAUAGGUCAAGAAUUUCAUUUUUAUAGUUGCAUACUGUAUUUUUCAUACACAUUCAUGGCAAGGCACACUAAAUUAUUGAUUUGUACUUGUGUAUUUUACCUAGUCAGAAAUAUUAUAUUGACUUCAAUCUGAUUUGCCAAAGGAAAAAUGUAUAAUGUAAUUUUGUCUAUUGUCAAUCUAUUUUGAAUAGAUUAUUAGACUAGUUGACUACUAAAUCAAGUCUUUGUUGCAAAGUGUUUUUCUAAAGUUUGUAAAUCUUAUAAGUGUGUUGACAUUACUGAAAUUUUCUUUCUAAAUUCAGACUGGCAAAAUUGUCCAAAUAUAUUUUGAAUAUAAGCUAACAUCAGACGGGAGCUACCGUACCUAAUUUCUUAUACCAAUAAUUGACAUGCCUGUCCGUAACUACUACUAGCAUACCGGUACUUAAACUCACAUGAAGUGUUUCAUCUAUAAGAUAGUUUUCAAAUACCGUAUCCGUAGCAGUUUGCUACCAAUACCUAUAUUUUCGAAAUUUAUAAUUUACCGAGAUGAGUUGUCAUGAGAAAUUUUUGUAAAAGGCAAAUUUAUUCAUGUCAAAUCAAAUGUUUUGUUUUUCAUUUUUAUAUUUUAUUCAUCUUCUUUAAUUCCAAUAUUCGAUAUUUUUUACAUCUAGGCCUGAAUCUACCAUCAUUAUUAUCUAUAAGGCUUAAAUUAUAAUAGGGCAAAUUAUCUGCAAUAAAAAAUGAGCAAUUCUUGAGAGGUAAAAAAUCGUAUAAGAUUGUGCAUUUCGAAAAAAAUGACUAAGGUUGUCGGAUAAACUUUUAUCAUACAACUUGUCUUUUGGCUGAUUCAUGUGCCUUUCUUGAAAUUGCCUUUGUUGUUUGAUGACAAUAAAUUCCAUCCACUUAUUAUUUAUCACUUAUUGAUUGAUUUCGUUCCAGUGGUAAGACAAAAAUGUGCACGUUAAUACCCUCUAUUCCCUAAUUUCACUUCUGUUUUGAUUUUUACUGUUAGGUUUGCAUUUGAUUUUCCAACAGUUAGUAACUGGAUUCUACAAAUUAUUUUUGUCUUUUUCAAACCCCUGCCAUUUGCUUAUCAUGUUUAAAAUCUAGUUGUUUGAUUUAUCAUCGGAGAUGUCUAUGAUUAUUUUCUGCAUUUAUGUGAUCCAGUUUUCACUAUCUCUCCAUUAAGAUAAAUCCACGUUUUUGUAUUGAUGAAUAAUAUUUUUCUGAUUGUUCUAUGUAUUGAGCUAAUAUAGGUUCUCAACCAGAAAAAAGAUGUUUCCUGUUUAGCUCUAUGUAUCUAUAUUAGUAUUUUUCAAUCUAUAAUUCAUUGCUAUUGUUGGGCUAGGCAUACGCCUGCAUGUUUUAUAUCAUUAAAAAAUGUUCUUUACAAGGCCCAUUCAAUGCUUUAGAGAGUCUGAUGGCGGAUGCCGUUAUCCUGUUUCAUAAAAACUAAUAACGUUUGCAUUGGUGUUGAAUUCUAGCUAUUGAAUGAAAAAAUUCUUCCUUUUUCUGAAUAGAAUGGUCUUUGUGAAAAUAAUUUUUCCUAUAUAACCUAUAUACUCCUAUAUAAGUAAGAUUACUUCACAGAAACAUUUCCAACAAACAAAUGAAAAUGAAAAACUCGCUUUCCACUAUUUCAAUGAUUUUGAUUUGAUCUAAAAUAUCACUAUAAAAUGAUUAUAUACUUUAUGAUUUUGUUUUCUUAGUAGAAUAAUAAAAAAUCUGUUAUGAUUA